rnacentral:rRNA from 1 species
UACGAAGGGGGCUAGCGUUGCUCGGAAUCACUGGGCGCAAAGGGUGCGUAGGCGGCUUCUUAAGUCAGGGGUGAAAUCCUGGAGCUCAACUCCAGAACUGCCUUUGAUACUGAGGAGCUUGAGUCCGGGAGAGGUGAGUGGAACUGCGAGUGUAGAGGUGAAAUUCGUAGAUAUUCGCAAGAACACCAGUGGCGAAGGCGGCUCACUGGCCCGGUACUGACGCUGAUGCGCGAAAGCCAGGGGAGCGAACGGG